GUCUGUUUGGAGAUAUAGAAAGUCUGGCCUGCCCACUGAUAUUAUUUAAAGGGCCGCGGUAAUUUGACCGUGCAAAGGUAGCAUAAUCGUUAGUUUUUUAAUUGGAAUCUUGUAUGAAUGGUUGAACAAAAGAGUAACUGUCUCUAUAUUUUUUUCUGAAUUUAACUUUUAAGUGAAAAGGCUUAAAUAUUUUAAAAAGACGAUAAGACCCUAUAAAGCUUGAUAGGUCUUGUUACUAAGUUAAAUUCAAUGUUAUAAUAAUUUGGUGUGAAAGGUCUAUUUUGUUGGGGCGACAAUGAUAAAAUGUUUGUUAACUGUUUUAAGCAAGGACAAUAAUUCGUGAUUAGUGAGAUUAAAUGAUCCUUUAUAAAGAUUAAAAGGUUAAGUUACUUUAGGGAUAACAGCGUUAUUUUUCUUGAGAGUUCUUAUCGAAAGAAAAGUUUGCGACCUCGAUGUUGAAUUAAAAUUUCUAUAUAAUUGCAGAAGUUAUAGUUAGAGGGUCUGUUCGACCUUUAAAUUUUU
rnacentral:rRNA from 1 species